rnacentral:lncRNA from 1 species
AUGAAAUUGCAGAGAGAUGAAGUCAGUGUGAGGCUAAAUGGUUUUGUGUGCUGCUGUCUCAUGUCUCAUAGAAGAGCAAGAGUGGCUAGACAACAUGUGAAGAAGCACUACUCUAGAUUACCUCAGAUGGCAACUAUGUGCCCUGAACUGCUGUGAGGGUAUUUCUGGGGUCAUCAGCCAUCCCAUGGGGAAAUGAGUCAGCAAAAGCGUAAGUGAUUUCAACACUUCUGUUAUAAAUUCCAUAGAUUAGUAAUAUGAACUUUACAAAAGUUUUGCUAAUUUGGGACCUGUGAGACUUUCCACUGAGUAACUUUAGCUUUAAAAAGGUAUACACAGCACCAUGAUAUUUGCAUUAAAGUGUUAGGGAUUGAAGCAGGAACAAGAUUUUACUUUGCUGUUGUAUGGCUGCACUUGAAAACAAUUCCUGCCUUAGGUUAAACCUUAGCCAAGGCAAGACACAACUAGCUAUUAUAGGCUAAGUGAAUGAAGAACAUUAAGGUUCUGGGGACAUUAUUGAGACAGAAAAAUGUGUUUAUACCACAGUUUAGAAGUUACAAAAGAACUUUAAAACAUAAUGAUAAAUAAAAGUUAGAUAAACCUAAAAUAAUUGUACA